ACGAACGCUGGCGGCGUGCUUAACCCAUUCAAGUCGAACGGAAAGGCCCUGCUUUUGUGGGGUGCUCGAGUGGCGAACGGGUGAGUAACACGUGAGUAACCUGCCCUUGACUUUGGGAUAACUUCAGGAAACUGGGGCUAAUACCGGAUAGGAGCUCCUGCUGCAUGGUGGGGGUUGGAAAGUUUCGGCGGUUGGGGAUGGACUCGCGGCUUAUCAGCUUGUUGGUGGGGUAGUGGCUUACCAAGGCUUUGACGGGUAGCCGGCCUGAGAGGGUGACCGGCCACAUUGGGACUGAGAUACGGCCCAGACUCCUACGGGAGGCAGCAGUGGGGAAUAUUGCACAAUGGGCGGAAGCCUGAUGCAGCAACGCCGCGUGCGGGAUGACGGCCUUCGGGUUGUAAACCGCUUUCGCCUGUGACGAAGCGUGAGUGACGGUAAUGGGUAAAGAAGCACCGGCUAACUACGUG
rnacentral:rRNA from 1 species